rnacentral:tRNA from 1 species
GGAAGGGUACAGCUCAGUGGUAGAGUGCUUGCUUAGCAUGCACAAAGUCCUGGGUUCAAUCCCCAGUACCUCCA